UGGGGAAUAUUGGACAAUGGGCGCAAGCCUGAUCCAGCAAUGCCGCGUGAGUGAAGAAGGUCUUCGGAUUGUAAAGCUCUUUCGACGGGGACGAUGAUGACGGUACCCGUAGAAGAAGCCCCGGCUAACUUCGUGCCAGCAGCCGCGGUAAUACGAAGGGGGCUAGCGUUGCUCGGAAUGACUGGGCGUAAAGGGCGCGUAGGCGGUUUGUACCGUCAGAUGUGAAAUUCCCGGGCUCAACCUGGGGGCUGCAUUUGAUACGUACAGACUAGAGUGAGGAAGAGGGUUGUGGAAUUCCCAGUGUAGAGGUGAAAUUCGUAGAUAUUGGGAAGAACACCGGUGGCGAAGGCGGCAACCUGGUCCUUGACUGACGCUGAGGCGCGAAAGCGUGGGGAGCAAACA
rnacentral:rRNA from 1 species